CUACGGGCUGCUGCAGUGGGGAAUAUUGCACAAUGGGCGAAAGCCUGAUGCAGCAACGCCGCGUGAGUGAUGAAGGUUUUCGGAUCGUAAAACUCUGUUCUAAGGGAAGAUAAUGACGGUACCUUAGGAGAAAGCCCCGGCUAACUACGUGCCAGCAGCCGCGGUACUACGUAGGGGGCAAGCGUUAUCCGGAAUUACUGGGCGUAAAGGGUGCGUAGGUGGCCUGACAAGUCAGGGGUCAAAGGCAACGGCUCAACCGUUGUAAGCCUUUGAAACUGUCGGGCUUGAGUUCAGGAGAGGAAAGCGGAAUUCCAAGUGUAGCGGUGAAAUGCGUAGAUAUUUGGAGGAACACCAGUGGCGAAGGCGGCUUUCUGGACUGAUACUGACACUGAGGCACGAAAGCGUGGGGAGCAAACAGGAUUAGAUACCCUUGUAGUC
rnacentral:rRNA from 1 species